AAGGCUGAGCUGUGAUGGCGAGGGAAAUUAUAGUACCGAAGUUCCUGAUCCUACACUGCCAAGAAAAGCCUCUAGCGAGGUGACUGGUGCCCGUACCGCAAACCGACACAGGUAGGCGGGAAGAGAAUUCUAAGACGCGCGGGAGAACUCUCGUUAAGGAACUCGGCAAAAUGACCCCGUAACUUCGGGAGAAGGGGUGCUCUAUUAGGGUGCAAGCCCGAGAGAGCCGCAGUGAAUAGGCCCAAACGACUGUUUAUCAAAAACACAGGUCUCUGCUAAGCCGCAAGGCGACGUAUAGGGGCUGACACCUGCCCGGUGCUGGAAGGUUAAGAGGAGGGGUUAUCCUUCGGGAGAAGCUCUGAAUUGAAGCCCCAGUAAACGGCGGCCGUAACUAUAACGGUCCUAAGGUAGCGAAAUUCCUUGUCGGGUAAGUUCCGACCCGCACGAAAGGUGCAACGAUUUGGGCACUGUCUCAACGAGAGACCCGGUGAAAUUAUAUUACCUGUGAAGAUGCAGGUUACCUGCGACAGGACGGAAAGACCCCAUGGAGCUUUACUGUAGCUUGAUAUUGGAUUUUGGUACAGCUUGUACAGGAUAGGUAGGAGCCUUGGAAGCCGGAGCGCUAGCUUCGGUGGAGGCGUUGGUGGGAUACUACCCUGGCUGUACUGGAAUUCUAACCUCGAACCGUGAUCCGGUUCAGGGACAGUGUCAGGUGGGCAGUUUGACUGGGGCGGUCGCCUCCUAAAAAGUAACGGAGGCGCCCAAAGGUUCCCUCAGAAUGGUUGGAAAUCAUUCGCAGAGUGCAAAGGCAUAAGGGAGCUUGACUGCGAGACAUACAGGUCGAGCAGGGACGAAAGUCGGGCUUAGUGAUCCGGCGGCACCGUAUGGAAGGGCCGUCGCUCAACGGAUAAAAGCUACCCUGGGGAUAACAGGCUAAUCUCCCCCAAGAGUCCACAUCGACGGGGAGGUUUGGCACCUCGAUGUCGGCUCGUCGCAUCCUGGGGCUGAAGUAGGUCCCAAGGGUUGGGCUGUUCGCCCAUUAAAGCGGCACGCGAGCUGGGUUCAGAACGUCGUGAGACAGUUCGGUCCCUAUCCGUCGCAGGCGUAGGAAAUUUGAGAGGAGCUGUCCUUAGUACGAGAGGACCGGGAUGGACACACCGCUGGUGUACCAGUUGUUCCGCCAGGAGCAUCGCUGGGUAGCUACGUGUGGAAGGGAUAAGUGCUGAAAGCAUCUAAGCAUGAAGCCCCCCUCAAGAUGAGAUUUCCCAUCACGUAAGUGAGUAAGAUCCCUCAGAGAAGAUGAGGUUGAUAGGUCUCGUGUGGACGCAUGGUGACAUGUGAAGCUGAGAGAUACUAAUCGAUCGAGGGCUUAACCA
rnacentral:rRNA from 1 species